rnacentral:rRNA from 1 species
UACGGGGGGAGCAAACGUUGUUCGGAAUCACUGGGCUUAAAGGGCGCGUAGGCGGGUUCGCAAGUCUGUGGUGAAAGCCUCCAGCUUAACUGGAGAAGUGCCGUGGAUACUGCGAAUCUUGAGGAGGGUAGGGGCGUCUGGAACGGUCGGUGGAGCGGUGAAAUGCGUUGAUAUCGACCGGAACUCCGGUGGCGAAGGCGAGGCGCUGGACCCUUUCUGACGCUGAGGCGCGAAAGCCAGGGGAGCAAACGGG